rnacentral:rRNA from 1 species
UUGAACGCUGGCGGCAUGCCUAACACAUGCAAGUCGAACGGAAACGGCAUUAACAAUCCCUUCGGGGUGCGUUUAUGGACGUCGAGUGGCGGACGGGUGAGUAACGCAUAGGAAUCUGCCCAUGUAGUGGGGGACAACCUGGGGAAACUCAGGCUAAUACCGCAUACGCCCUAAGGGGGAAAGCGGGGGAUCUUCGGACCUCGCGCUAUUGGAUGAGCCUAAGUCGGAUUAGCUUGUUGGUGAGGUAAAGGCUCACCAAGGCGACGAUCCGUAGCUGGUCUGAGAGGACGAUCAGCCACACUGGGACUGAGACACGGCCCAGACUCCUACGGGAGGCAGCAGUGGGGAAUAUUGGACAAUGGGCGCAAGCCUGAUCCAGCAAUGCCGCGUGUGUGAAGAAGGCCUGCGGGUUGUAAAGCACUUUCAGUAGAGAAGAAAAGCCCAGGGUUAAUACCCCUGAGUCUUGACGUAACCUACAGAAGAAGCACCGGCUAACUCCGUG